GACGAACGCUGGCGGCGCGCUUAACACAUGCAAGUCGAGCGAGAACCAUGGCUUCGGCCAUGGGGACAGCGGCGAACGGGUGAGUAACACGUGGGCAAUCUGCCCUCGGCACUGGGAUAGCCCGGGGAAACCCGGAUUAAUACCGGAUAGCCUCUCGAGCUCACGGGCUCGUGAGAAAAGAUGGCUUCGGCCUUCGGCUGAGGAGGAGCCUGCGGCGGAUUAGCNGUUGGCGGGGUAACGGCCCACCAAGGCGACGAUCUGUAGCUGGUCUGAGAGGACGAUCAGCCACACUGGGACUGAGACACGGCCCAGACUCCUACGGGAGGCAGCAGUGGGAAUCUUGCGCAAUGGGCGAAAGCCUGACGCAGCGACGCCGCGUGA
rnacentral:rRNA from 1 species